GCCCGGUUAGCAUAAAAGUAAUGCACCCGUUUUGUAAUCGGAAGAAGUAAGUGCGAUACUUGCACUGGGCU
rnacentral:tRNA from 1 species